UACGUAGGUGGCAAGCGUUAUCCGGAAUUAUUGGGCGUAAAGAGUGAGCAGGCGGCAGUUUAAGUCUGGAGUGAAAGCGUGAGGCUCAACCUCAUACAGCUUCAGAAACUGAACAGCUAGAGUACGGGAGAAGUAAGUGGAACUCCAUGUGUAGCGGUGAAAUGCGUAGAUAUAUGGAAGAACACCAGUGGCGAAGGCGACUUACUAGCCCGAGACUGACGCUCAGUCACGAAAGCGUGGGUAGCAAAUAGGAUUAGA
rnacentral:rRNA from 1 species